UGGAGGAGCCUGGUGGGCUGCAGUCUAUGGGGUUGCAGAGAGUUGGACACGACUGAAGUGACUUAGCAGCAGCAGAAGCAGCAUAGCUCUGCAUGAUGCAAUGUUGGGUAGUUUUUAUUGUUUAUUUAGCCUUUUCAGCAUUUUCAAACAUUUCUACAGUAAGUGUUUACUGCUUUGAUUGUCAGGAAAUAAAAUGAUUAUAAGGUAGUCAACUUCCUGGUGGUAGUGGAUUUGGGUCCACAUUUUCUUUCAAUACCUUUUUUUUUUUUUUUUAACCCUUACUACACUUUAUCUGCCACAGCUCCUGCAGUGAGGAUCUGGAGGAAAGCACUGAGACUUAGAUGAGGACUGGGCAAUGUUCUCCUACAGACAGAGCCACAGCAAUUUUCCUUGGGACCGGAGGCUUGGAUCCCUAUUUGGUGUGGAACCAGUACUGCUCUUGAAAUUGAUGAGUCUGGGUUGAAAUCUCACCUCUGUCACCUGUUUUAAGACAACAUUCUACAUAGAUAACAUUUCUGGCAGCAUGGAUGGGAGAAGACCUUCCCGGGAGGAGAUUUUUCAGGGCAAAGGGAGAGGGGCUGCUGUCAGAUCAUCCAUGGCUGAAAAAUGUAUCCUGAGAGUCCAUUCCAUUCCGCGGUUCCUGUUUCCACAACUUCUUCCCUUCCUCUGCCUCUGAAUGUGCCGAAUCUGCAAGUGGUCCAAGUGUUUUCUCUAGCCCUUUCUUUCUUUUUUAAUUUUUUUACACAGCCAGUGACAGCUGCAAGGUGGUGGGGGCCGGGCGGGUGGCAGCAGCUGUUUGUAUGUAUGGGUCUCUGUAGUCUUUCUUUGUGAGUCAGGGGCUGUCUGUAUAUGUCACACGCUACCACCUGGCAAGACAUUUCGUUCCAUGUAUGUUGUUUAAAUGUUUCCUGGAUGAUAUCAUAAACACAGAAGGAGGGGGGACCUUCAGAUAUGGAUUUCCAGCCCUUCACUUCCCGACGCAGAAACAUCCUAGGGCGAUUUUCUCCUCUAGCUCAGCAGACAGCUUGAAAUUUACUCCCUGGUCCUUCCCAUUUACCAGAUGCGGAGAUUUUAAUGCCAGUGGGGCAGGCAUCUGAACAGAAGCCACAGUGUAGUCCUGGAGAACACUGAGCAGGAGCCGAAGGCAGAAGCAGGUGGCAGGCUCGCCCCACGGCCCCUCACUGGGGUCCUGGUGACUGAGUACCUUCCCUUCUCUGGGUCUCAGUUUCCUCUUCAGUCAAGCAAGUGGGAUGAGCUGAACUCUCUUUGGUCCCUUCUGAGCUUUCAGACUCUUUGAUUCUUUCAUAAACUACCCAGGACAGAGGGCUGAUCAUCCUUGGUAAUCCUGCCUUUGGGGUGGACAGUCUGUUGUGACCCAUGUAAGCCUGUUCAAAUGUUUACUCAUCCUUAAAAUUAAGCAAUUUCCCCUUAUGCUAACUAAAUAGUUUUUGUAAUUUGAUUGUAAUUUUUUUUUGGUUGUCAUUGUUAUUAGGACUUCUAAAAAUAUAGGAAGAAUUCUACCCUGUAUUCCUAUUAUGGUGAUACCUUUGUUAUACAUAUACUGACAUAUUUGUUCUAACCUAGAUGAUUAGUUUUCAAAGACUUAAUAGCAAUGGGAUUCUAUUUUUAUAUGACAUGUAUAUUUAAAAGCUGGGUUUCCCUUAUAGCUCAGAUGGCAAAGAAUCUGCCUCUGCA